GACGAACGCUGGCGGCGUGCUUAACACAUGCAAGUCGAACGGAGUGGCGAACGGGUGAGUAACACGUGGGUGACCUGCCCUGCACUUCGGGAGAAGCCUGGGAAAAUGGGUCUAAUACCGGAGAGUGUGGGAUGGGCCCGGGGCCUAUCGGCUUGUCGGUGGGGUAAUGGCCUACCAAGGCGGCGCCGGGUAGCCGGCCUGGGAGGGUGGACGGCCACAAUGGGACUGAGGCACGGCCCAGAGGCGUACGGGGGGCAGCGGUGGGGAAUAUUGCACAAUGGGCGGAAGCCUGAGGCAGCGACGCCGCGUGGGGGAUGACGGCCUUCGGGUUGUAAACUCCUUUCACCAUCGACGCGGUAGAUGGAGAAGAAGCACCGGCUAACUACGUGCCAGCAGCCGCGGUAAUUC
rnacentral:rRNA from 1 species